AGUGCUGUGUAUGCAGCCAUAUAGUGAAUGCCUUCAUUUGCACCCUGAACUCUGAAUAGUCACUUUUAAAACAUCCAUCUGUCAUCCAUCUAGUGAGGUCAGGAGAGUGGCUGCUUAACUUCUGGGGGUUGCAGAAAAGGAAGAAGAAUCAGCAGAGAGCAUUUGUGGCCAGCAAAGCUUAAAAUAUUUCCUAACCGAUCCUUUGCAAAAAAAGUUCACCCACUCCUGUAGUCAGCAGCUCCCCUACUGUGCGCAGUCAGUGUGCCAUCUCAGACUAGCAAAGUUGUCCAGAGAGGAAAGACAGGCCAAAAUAGUUCAGUAUGCUGUCUUACUGGGAGGACAACAGCUUAAGCCACAAAGCCCUGAGUUUGACCCUAGAACUCUGUGGCUACUGGUGACUCAUCUUGAAAAUUAUCAGAUUGAAUCUUCUCUACCGGUUUGAUAACAACUGAUGAGUGGAAAAAGAACGCCAAUCAAAUGUGCAUGCUUAAUAAGCAGCCUCCUUAUUCCCCUCUGCAGAUUUGUGCUUGGAUCAUCUACACUUCCCUGAAUGUUGAAGAAGAUAUGCUAUCCAUGCAAUCCUUGUCGACUGCUUGAUUAAAAAGUGGAUAAACUGUCUUCAGGCCCUUGGAGUAUGGUGUCUGUGUGAAGAAGGGAAUGAGGCAGAAGUAGCAGUCAGUGGUGGCUGAAGUAGGAGAAAGUGCUUGCUAAUGAAAUCUUGAUUUUUCUGUGGCUUUUCUGUGCAAUUGGGUGGCUAAGUAGGAAAGCCAUUGGAGCUUCACUGUAUCAAUUCUGCCUUUCUUGUUUUUUGGAACUCCAAUUCACCAAGGCUCCCUGCCACCCUAUCCAUCUAUAACUUUUCAUCACUUUUUCCUCAAAGUAAGAAGUGUGUCCCAGAAAAUGUGCCUUUGUGACUCAGCAACAUUUCAAAUCCAUCUGAGCCUUCCCAGCGUUCCAAAAGAAAUACUGAUUUGAAUUCAGCUGCUUAAAAAACCAGUCUCUAAGCAGACAGCUUGAAACUUCCUUACAGCAAUAGUUUAGGCUUUGGAGGGGAAAUUGGUUUGUUUUUAAUUGUUUUAAUUUUUCAUUCAAUUCAUUUGCCGCCUGAUUAUAUAUGAUCUUUUGAGCCCAAUACUCUGCUAAAUUAACCUUGACUUUCUUUCUCUCUUUCUCUCUCUCUCCUUCUCUCUUUCUUCCUUUCUUUCUUUCUUUUUGACAGAGCCUUGCUCUGUCGCCCAGGCUGGAAUGCAGUGGCACAAUCUCAGCUCACUGUAAACUCCGCCUCCAAAGUUCAAGCAAUUCUCCUGCCUCAGCCUCCUGUGUAGCUGGGAUUACACACGCCAGCCACCAUGCCUGGCUAAUUUUUGUAUUUUUAGUAAAGAUGGAGUUUCACCCUCUUGGCCAAGCUGGUCUCGAACUCCUGACCUCAACCUUGGCCUCUCAAAGUGCUGGGAUUACAAGCAUGAGCCACCAUGCCUGGCCUUACCUUGAUUUUUUUUUUUUGAGACAGAGUCUCACUCUGUUGCUCAGGCUGGAGUGUAGUGGCUCGAUCUUGGCUCACUGCAACCUCCAUCUCCCGGGUUCAAGAGAUUCUCCUGCCUCAGCCUCCCAAGUAGCUGGGACUACAGGUGUGGGCCACCACGCCUAGCUAAUUUUUUAUAUGUUUACUAGAGACAGGGUUUCACCAUGUUGGGCAGGCUGGUCUUGAACUCCUGACCUCAGGUGAUUCACCUGCCUCGGCCUCCCAAAAUGCUGGGAUUACAGGUGUGAGCCACCACACCCGGCCCCUACCUUUGAUUUUUAAGUCAAGAGGGAACAAGUCGAAAUUUCUAUUCAGGUAAACUGUAUACCUUUGGACACUGAAUCACUUUUAGAACCCCAGUAAAAAUCAUGUAUGAAUGACCCACAAUUUCACUCCAACAGGAAGGUGUGUAUAUGUGCACAAAAACAUUAGAUUGUUCACACCGGUGCUAUUCAUAAUAGUCAAAAACUGGAAACAACUCAAACAUCCAUCAACUGUAGAAUGGAUAAAUAAAUCAUGAUAUAUUCAUACCAUGGAACAUAACAGUGACAAUAAAUGAACCACUGCUACACACAACAGAUAUGAAUUUCACAAACAGAAUGCUGAGCAACAGAAGCCAAACACAGAAGGAUACACAUUUAUAAAUCCAUUUGUAUGAAGUUCAUAAACAGACAAAAUUAGUCAGUGGAGAUUAUUCUCAUAGAAGUCUGAAGGGUAGUUGUCUUUAGGGAGGGGGAUAUAGUGACUGAGGUGGGUAUAAGGGGUUUCUGGGGUUUGGUGAUGGUACACCAGCAUAUUCACUCUGAAAACUCAUUGAGCUGUGCAAUAAUGAUUUUUCAAACUUUUAUAUGUGUAUGAUAAUGCUUCAAUAAAGCUUUGCUUAAAAACACGCAUAGUCAUUGCUAUGGUGUGAAUGUUUGUGUGCCCCCGUUCACCAAAUUCAUAGGUUGAAAUCCUAACCCCCA
rnacentral:lncRNA from 1 species